GAUGAACGCUGGCGGCGUGCCUAACACAUGCAAGUCGAACGAGAUGCGUAUUGGAAAGCUUCGGCCGGAAGAAGCGUUAUCUAGUGGCGGACGGGUGGGUAACACGUGGGAAACCUGCCAUAUGGAGGGGGAUAACAGAGAGAAAUCACUGCUAAUACCGCAUAAGCACACAUUGCCGCAUGGCAGAGUGUGAAAAGAUUUAUCGGCCUAAGAUGGACCCGCGUCUGAUUCGUCAGUUGGCAGGGUAAAAGCCCACCAAAGCAACGAGCAGUACCCGAACUGGGAGGAUGACCCGCCACAUUGGGAGUGGGACACGGCCCGAACUCCCACGGGUGGCAGCAAGUGGGACUAUUGCACGCUGGGUGAAAGACUGAUGCAGCCACGUCGUGUGAGUGAGGAAUUAGUGCGGUAUGUAAAGCUCUAUCAGCAGUGCAGCUAAUGACAGUACCUGACUAGGAAGCCACGGCUAACUACGUG
rnacentral:rRNA from 1 species